AUUGAACGCUGGCGGAAUGCUUUACACAUGCAAGUCGAACGGCAGCACGGACUUCGGUCUGGUGGCGAGUGGCGAACGGGUGAGUAAUAUAUCGGAACGUAUCCAAUAAUGGGGGAUAACUAAUCGAAAGGUUGGCUAAUACCGCAUACGUCCUACGGGAGAAAGCUAGGGACCUUCGGGCCUGGCGUUAAUGGAGCGGCCGAUAUCGGAUUAGCUAGUUGGUGAGGUAAAGGCUCACCAAGGCGACGAUCCGUAGCUGGUCUGAGAGGACGACCAGCCACACUGGAACUGAGACACGGUCCAGACUCCUACGGGAGGCAGCAGUGGGGAAUUUUGGACAAUGGGCGAAAGCCUGAUCCAGCCAUUCCGCGUGAGUGAAGAAGGCCUUCGGGCUGUAAAGCUCUUUCGCAAGAGAAGAAAACUUACCCUCUAACAUAGGGUGAGGUUGACGGUAUCUUGAUGAGAAGCACCGGCUAACUACGUGCCAGCAGCCGCCGUAA
rnacentral:rRNA from 1 species